rnacentral:rRNA from 1 species
CAGUCGCCGCGGGAAUACGUAGGUGGCAAGCGUUGUCCGGAAUUAUUGGGCGUAAAGCGCGCGCAGGCGGCCUCUUAAGUCUGAUGUGAAAGCCCCCGGCUCAACCGGGGAGGGCCAUUGGAAACUGGGAGGCUUGAGUAUAGGAGAGAAGAGUGGAAUUCCACGUGUAGCGGUGAAAUGCGUAGAGAUGUGGAGGAACACCAGUGGCGAAGGCGACUCUUUGGCCUAUAACUGACGCUGAGGCGCGAAAGCGUGGGGAGCAAACAGGAUUAGAGACCCCCGUAGUCCCUGUCUCUUAUAC